rnacentral:rRNA from 1 species
UGCGCAGGCGGUUUUGUAAGACAGAGGUGAAAUCCCCGGGCUCAACCUGGGAACUGCCUUUGUGACUGCAAGGCUAGAGUGCGGCAGAGGGGGAUGGAAUUCCGCGUGUAGCAGUGAAAUGCGUAGAUAUGCGGAGGAACACCGAUGGCGAAGGCAAUCCCCUGGGCCUGCACUGACGCUCAUGCACGAAAGCUGGGAGCAAACA